rnacentral:rRNA from 1 species
CAGUCGCCGCGGUAAUACAGAGGGUGCGAGCGUUAAUCGGAUUUACUGGGCGUAAAGCGUGCGUAGGCGGCUUCUUAAGUCGGAUGUGAAAUCCCUGAGCUUAACUUAGGAAUUGCAUUCGAUACUGGGAAGCUAGAGUAUGGGAGAGGAUGGUAGAAUUCCAGGUGUAGCGGUGAAAUGCGUAGAGAUCUGGAGGAAUACCGAUGGCGAAGGCAGCCAUCUGGCCUAAUACUGACGAUGAGGUACGAAAGCAUGGGGAGCAAACAGGAUUAGAUACCCCCGUAGUCCCUGUCUCUUAUAC